rnacentral:sRNA from 1 species
GCUGGGCGUGGUGGCGCACAUCUGUAAUCCCAGCCACUCAGGAGGCUGAGAUAGGAGGAUCGAGAGUUCCAAGCCAGCCUCAGCAACAGCGAGAUGCUAAGCAACUCAGUGAGACCCUGUCUCUA